UACGUAGGGUGCAAGCAUUAAUCGGAAUUAUUGGGCGUAUAGGGCGUGUAGGCGGGAGUGUAAGUCAGAUGUGAAAUCCCGGGGCUCAACCCCGGAACAGCAUUUGAAACUGCAUUUCUAGAGGGUAGGCGGAGAAAAUGGAAUUCCACAAGUAGCGGUGAAAUGCGUAGAUAUGUGGAAGAACACCAGUGGCGAAAGCGAUUUUCUAGCUUAUACCUGACGCUGAGGCGCGAAAGCAAGGGGAUCAAACAGG
rnacentral:rRNA from 1 species